rnacentral:rRNA from 1 species
ACAUCCAGAGAACUUAGCAGAGAUGCUUUGGUGCCUUCGGGAACUCUGAGACAGGUGCUGCAUGGCUGUCGUCAGCUCGUGUUGUGAAAUGUUGGGUUAAGUCCCGNAACGAGCGCAACCCUUAUCCUUUGUUGCCAGCGGCUCGGCCGGGAACUCAAAGGAGACUGCCGGUGAUAAACCGGAGGAAGGUGGGGAUGACGUCAAGUCAUCAUGGCCCUUACGGCCGGGGCUACACACGUGCUACAAUGGCGCAUACAAAGAGAAGCGACCUCGCGAGAGCAAGCGGACCUCAUAAAGUGCGUCGUAGUCCGGAUUGGAGUCUGCAACUCGACUCCAUGAAGUCGGAAUCGCUAGUAAUCGUAGAUCAGAAUGCUACGGUGAAUACGUUCCCGGGCCUUGUACACACCGCCCGUCACACCAUGGGAGUGGGUUGCAAAAGAAGUAGGUAGCUUAACCUUCGGGAGGGCGCUUACCACUUUGUGAUUCAUGACUGGGGUGAAGUCGUAACAAGGUAGGCGUAGCGAG